ensembl:lncRNA
AGUGGGAGUUUAAAAGUUAAUGUUCUGUUCUAUGAGCUGCCUUUUUUGGGCAUUUUGGUUCUGGGACAGGAGGGAAGUAGUGGCAUUCCCCAGAGGAGUUAAAUCCCAGAGGAACAAAGGUAUAGCUCCUGGCAGGACACCAGCCUCUCUCCCUCUCGCAGACUCUCAGUUGCCCAGUGGAGAAGCACGUGGUUCCCUCUGCACUCUACAGACUCUGCUUUAGAUACUGAAAGGUCACCAUCAGGUCACCUCGCAGCCUUCUCUUCUUCAGGCUGAACAGCCCCAGCUCUUUCAGCCUGUCUUCAUAAGAAGUGUGCUCCACACCUUGGAUCAUUUUUGUGGCUGUCCUCUGGAUGUGCUCCAGCAGGUCCAUGCCUCUUGUACACUGAGGACUCCACAUCUGAAUGCAGCACUAGAGGUUCACUUGCUUUAGGUUUCUCUGGUUCUCUCUGUAACCAUAAGGGAUACCAAUACUCUUUUCCAAACAAGUGAAAGAAGAAAUUACAUGGAAUCAUUGGAGCCUAGCAGAUGAGUUACAGGUGACAUUUUUACCUUGCGCUGGCUGUGAUCAAGGACCAGUCCAACAAAAGGAUUUGUUUCUCAUGGUUGGAGAAAAACGAAGUUGACAACACACCAGUGUUUAUAGUUGCUGCAAAGAAAGAAAGAAAGAAAGAAAGAAAGAAAGAAAGAAAGAAAGAAAGAAAGAAAGAAAGAAAGGAAGAAAGAAAGGAAGAAAAAGAAGAAAGAAAAAAAGGAAAAAAAGAAGAAGAAGAAAGAAAAAAAGGAAAAAAGAAAAUAUUGAAUCAAGGAAAGAAGUCUGUUAGCCAUGUGAUAAAAUCUAAGAUAUGACACUGAGAUUUUAUUGGCCAGAAAGUUUUGUACCAACUUGAGUAAUGGUCAUCACAGAAGUCUUAUGCAAAGAAAGCUUUACUGUUGUUUGAGGCUUCAUCCAAUAAAGGAAGAUUUAGCCAACAAAAUUCAAAUAGAAUGGUGAAGACACUAAGACAGAGAAGGAAAAGAUGAAACAGAAGAAACAACGUUUGGUUAAUUUCCACUGGGAUCCUCGUUCUACAUGCCCCAGGGGAGCAAAGGAAGGGAAAGGAGUGGUUAAAAAAAAAAAAAAAGGAAAGAAUAUGAGGUGUCUGUGAGCAGGAUAAAGGGAAGAAACCAGGACAAGUUCAACAGCAACAUAAUUAUCUGUCUUGGGAUGGGCUGUCAACUGAAGUGAUAAUACUCAGCUUUUUGAAAAUCAUAAGCUACCUUAAUUCACUAAGCAUCUACUAAGAUGUUUUGCAGAUGCUAAAUAGCCUUCUUUGGUUGCUCUGGUUUCAAUUAUCGUCUAAAUGCUACAAGCUGCAUAAGAUGGUGCAUGGCUUCCUUUGUCCUACAUGUAGCAGGGUGAUUGAAUUAGACUUGUCUCUAAAUCUCUUGAGGGUUACAUCCCCAAAUCUGAGAUUCUUCCUUGCCUUACUUCAUUCAAGCAACACUAUGAGCUGUACUUUACCUGGGCCACACUAUUGUGCAAACUGUGCCUAAUCUGCACUCUCAAGACACAGUAUGAGCUACUGCUUAAGUAAGACAAAACUGCCACGUUUUUGGUAUCACAAACCAAAGUAUCAUUAAAUUACAACCACUAAAAUCUUACAUAUUUAUUUAUAUAUGUAUGUGUGUAUACAUACAUUAAAGUCUCUGCAUCUAUCUACCUUGUCGUGUGUAUAUGCAGUGUUUUCUUGUGCUAGUCUAUCUGGGUUAUUUAAACAAUAAAAGUAGAUUAACACUAUGCACAUAUCUUGCUGAAAAUGUAUACCAUAGAACAUGGAACAGAGUCUAGAUGUGACCUUCUAAGAUUUCCUUAUCUUCUCUACCAAAGCUUCCUAUAGGCUUGGAAGUCUACACCACUAUACUGUCUUUGACUUGAAAUGUCAACUAUUCUGUAUUUCUCCCUCAUAGACUUCUUGGUAUAACUACUUGAUGCUUGUAGAUCUGUGUGAUGAAGGUGAAGGAAUCACCAAGUGAUUUUUGAGUGUGUGCUGAGGAUAAGGUCGUGGAAUAAAACAUCUAAAAAUCACUGACGCCUCAUAAUUUGAAAGUAAGCUUACAAAAAAGCCAAUCAAAUACUGAGUCAGAAUGAGUGAACAUGCCAUAAAUGUCAAUGUGACAGCUUGGUUACUCCUCGUGUGAGGCUCUUGGAGUUUGCACAUUCACAGAUCUUCAGAAUUUGUCCAGGUGAUUUGGUCAAGUAUAUAUUUUAGGUUUCCAUAUAUAAAGCCAUUAAUCAACAUCAAUCAACAUGUGAUACACUCCAUAUUCUCACUAUAGUAGCAACCCUUGGCUAGGCAUUCUGAAACUGUUAUGCAGAAUGACUGAUAGGACAGCAUGCAUAAUCCAUGCACAGCUAAACCUUUAUGAGUAAACUUCAACAAAUAUUUUCAGAUCCUGUAUAAUUUGGAAUACUACCAUUUCCAGAAUACAAGAAAGUCAAGAAAAAAAAAGAGUGUGAAUUUAAGGAAUAUUUUAUAUUUUCUUCAACUAGAAAAUUCUGCUGAUGAUUAUUUGGUUUCUUAUUAAUGAUAUAUAACAUCUCUAAAGCAGCUGCAGGAAAACCAACAAUGUAUGGACCAUAUCUGUAAAAUUAGCUAUUUGCUUUUAGGAUUUUUUUAAUAUCCUUUAGACAAAAAUCUAAAAGCCAAAAGCUUUUGGGUGUUUGAUUCUAGUAUUCAGAAAAAAUAUAUUUCUGGAGAAACAACAGGAUACUUUUCACAAACAAGUAAUUAAAUCCAAUUAUCAAAAAG